AAUUUAUAGUUAAUUUUGAAAAGAUUCUUACAGUAUUAGAAAUUCUGAUGGGGGAAGUUCAGUUAUAAAAAAAGAAGAUAGCCUCAAAAUCAACUAGGCUCUUCCAGGCCAAGAGAGAUUAUAUAGAAAAGUUAAAAAUAAUUUAACAACGAUGACAAAAUUCCCAUGGGACUCUGAUGACCAAGAUCAAUGAUGAAAAUAAUGGUGAGUGCUAUAUACUGAGAGUCUAACAUGUGUGAGUUAUAUUCACUAUCUCUAAUGAUCUUAAUAAUGUGCAAAAUAAAUGAUAGGAUCCUUAAUUUUAAGAUGAGGAAAUGGAACCUCCAAACAGUAAAAUCACUUGAUUAAAACUGUACUUAUUGGAUCCAGUGGUAGACCACAGACACCAGAUUCAUGCCUAUGACUAUUUGCCUUUUCUUUCAACCAGUGGGUUGCUGGAGCUAACCUGAAUUGGUAUGGAAGGACAAUUAUUAAAUUUUCAGGGAUGUCUCAAGCCAUUAUUAAAAACUAAAUUAUAUAAACAUACAAUCAAAUAAAUUAUCUUUUUUAAAAGACAAUGCUCAAAACUCAUCACUUCCUAGUUAUUUUUACUACAUUUUACUACUAUCUGGUUAUUGAGGUUAUUCCUUUAUUCUCUAUGUAUGGGAGAAAUAAUAUACAAUGUUGCACUAACGUGUCUCUCUUUCUAGCUCCCCCUUCAGUGACAUCAUGUUGGUAGCUUGAAAUCAGUCAGGGUGGGGGUAUUUACACCAUGGAAAUUAGCAAAUCCUACAAUCCAUAGUUUGGAUUAUUGUUCUAAUGCUUUUCUAGAUUUAAUAAAGUGAUAGAAAAAGUGUUAAUAAUGCAGAUUAAACCUAAAAGUAUUCCAUGCCUGUAGCCAUUAUAUUGUGAAUAGCAGAAAUGAGGGAAUAUGUAUUCUUCUAAUAUUUAAAAACUAUCAUCCAAUUUAACAAAAAUUCACUCAUGUCUUUGACAGAAUGAGUGAAGUUUCUUCAUUCACCUUUGAUGUUUCACUUUCAUUUUACUUCUUAACAUAAAUGAAAAUAUCAACCAACAUUUAUGUCAGAACUAUAUUAAUUCAUCAAUUGUGACCAGAAUAUAGGAGUUUGGCAAAAGUGAACAAAAGCAUUCUGUGAUAAUAACCUUACCAUAUAGAGUUGAAAACGAAGUAUAAUAAAAAUAGUGUAUUUUAUUAGCAUUUAUAAAUUGCAUGCUGCACAAUCAUUAAAAUUUAUUAAAAAUAUAUGUAUGUAAGUAUAGCACAUACUUUUUUUUGGAGAAUUGGUUAAAUAUUUGCCAGAACAUCAGAGCUUUUAACAUCAUGAUAUUGUCAAAACUGAAUGAAAUUGCUUUUGCCAGAGUCACCAAUUCCUAGUUGCUAAAUUCAAUUCUUUUUUAUUUGAUUUCUUUAUAGCAUUUGGCACUAGAGCAACUCCUUUUUUGUGUGUGAAAUACUCUUAGCUUCUAGAACCCACUCCUUCGCUUUUAUCAUAGUUUGAUCUAAUCCUACAUCCUAAAUAUUGAUAUUCCACGGAGCUCUAGCCUAAGGUCUCUUAUAAAUAUUUACUCUUUGGACAAUCUCAACUACUAACAAGGUUUAACAACUUACACUUUGAUAAUUUGCAAAUCUGUGUUUCUGGCCUAGAACUCUCUCUUAGCAUUAUAUAGGCAAAUGCGUAGAUAUCCCUAAAUGGAUAUCUUUCAGUAGCUGCCAUAAAUUGAAUGUUAGUGUCUCCAAAAAUUCAUGUUGAAGCCUAAUCCCCAAUGUGAUGGUAUUAUUAGGUGUGGCCUUUGGGAGAUGAUGAGGUCAUGAGAAUGGAGCCCUCUUGAGUGAGAUUAAUGCCCUUAUGAAACAGACUCCAGAGAGCUCUCUCACCCCUUUAGCCAUGUGAGGACAUAGUGAGAAAGAUGGUCAUCUGUGAACCAGGAAGUUGGCUCUCAGCAUACCUCCACCUUAAUCUUAGAUUUUCCAGCCUCUAGAACUGUGAGAAAUAAACUUCUGUUGUUUAUAAGCCACCUAGUCUAUGGUAUUUUUGUCAUAGCAGCUGGAACAGACCAAGACAGAAAUUCUGCACUAAAUACCGACAAAACCUAAUAUGUUUUCCCUUGCAAAUGUGUUCCUUCUUUGUUAGUUUCUAAUCUGAUUAAUAGCAUUAUGCAGCCAUCCAGGAAAUAUGUGAGUCAUCCUAGACUUCUCACUCAACUCCAAUUUCAAUCAAUUAUAAAGUCCCUCUAUCUUUAUCUACAUCUCUCCUUUCCUUUCCUUUUUAAACCUUAAACUAAGGUUUUAGUUAGGCUCUAAAAUCUGUUGUCCGGACUAUUGUAAUAAGUUUCUAACUCUUCUCCUCAUGUCCUUUUGCCUGCCUAUAAUCGGUUCAACAAACUGCUGCCAGAGUUGUAUUUCUAAAAUGCAAAUGUGAUCAUUUUGUUUUCCUACAUUAAAUCCAAUUUUCUAUAGCAAUUUUUCAGUAUUUUUCACUGAAACCUCAUAGGAAGAGAUACUUUGCUUAUCAAGACUCAAUGUGUGCAUAUAUGCAGGUAUGUACAUAAAUUUGCACAAACACCCCCCCCACCACACACACACACAAUUGAAACAAAAAUGAAGCAACAGUUAAUUUUCUUUUAGGUUUGCAUUCUGCUAUUUGGUAUGUGUUAUUGAAUAUUUAAAUGCUGGUUGAAUACAGGCCACUGAAUUUAUUUUAUGACCUACUAAUGGGAAUACUAAAGUAAAAGAAAAAAGUCUGCACUCAUGAAGCAUAGCACAGAAAGCCUUUCGAGAUCAAAAGUAAGACUAGGAAAUGCUUUUAAAUGAAUAGUAAUAAAAUGUAACCUAUCAAAACUUGUAUGAUUCUGUAAAUCUAAAGCUAUUCUAAAAGUUCAUCAAAGUUUUGUUGAUUACAGCUAACACACUACCUAGAUAUUUAAAAUAAAGGUGAGGUUUAAUUAAAAACAGACCUGAGGAAACUUUUUGGAAUGAUGCUGAUAUUCUAUACCUUGAAAGUUUAGACUACACAGAUGUACACAUUUGUUAAAAUUCAACAAAUAGUACUAAUAUUUGGGCAUUUAUUAUAACUAAAAUUUACCACUAAAGGAAAAAGAGGAACUAUAAAAACAUUUUCAGAGGCUCCAAUCAAGAUGGUAGAAUAGAAGGAUGUGGAGCUUACUACUCCCACAAAUAUAUCAAAAAUACAUCUCCAUACAGAAAAAUUCUCAGAGCAUACCUGCUGAAUGCUGGCAAAAAUUCUCAUAAAAACAAAAUCGCAAGAAAGAUGACCACAUAAGUUGGUAGGACAAAAGAAAAAAAAAAAUCAGAAUAGGACCUACAUCCCUGGGAGGAAGCUGUGAAAGAGGAAAGGUUCACUGACCCUGGGAAGCCUCUUCACUGGCUAGGAGAUCUGCUGGGAUAGAAAGGAGCUUCAGAGGCUCAGAGGAGAGUUCAGCAGCUGCUUUGCAGCAGGCAGAACAGAGAGACCUGUGGAGAUAAUACUGGCCAUCUCACUGCAGUCCCCAGCCCCAGAUGCAUGUCUGCUGGUGUGUGUGGGGGCUGGGUGCUGAAACUUGGGCUUUAGAGGACAGACCCAGAGAGAGAGCUGGAGUUAUCUGUGCAGAGACAGCCUGAGGGCCUGGAAUGUGGUCCAAGCCACGACCAGGGGUGUGUGCAAGAAGGAGCUUGGGUCUGCCACUGAAGCCCACUGUUAAUGUGCAUGCUCAAAGGGAGAAUCAGAGACUGACUGCCCAUAGUACCCUCAUUCUUGGUGUCCUCACAGUGGGUGCAGUUCUGCCUCUAUGAGCUGUCAGAGAGCACAAGCACUGGUGAGUUGUCCACAUGUAGAAGUGGGGCUGAAAUCUGAGUGUCCCAGGGGCUAUGUGAUUUGUGGAUUUAUGUGCCAGUGGCUUUAUAAGCUCAGUGCCUGUAGGACAUCUGAGCAUACUUCUGGUACUCCAGUGACUGGGGCAGGUCCAGUGAUAGUAUACCUUAUGGUGGGACUGGGAUCUAGAUUGACACAGUAGUUCUCAAGGUGGGUCCAGGCACACAACUAUAGUGGUCCUGGUGCCUAACCUCACUGAUCAUGUGCCAGUGGAUCUGCACUAGUAUCUAUGUCAGCAUAUUGCCUGAGAGACACCUGGGCCAACUGCCUGAAUUCCCAUGGUUGAGGUGGGGCUAGGGCAGUGCCCAAACAGUGUACUUUGUGAGCCUGCACAACAAAUGGCAGGUGACACCACAGAGCACACAUUCCACUGGGCAGCUCCUGUGGAGAAAUACUCCGUGGCUCGUCUCCCAAAAGGAAUGCUUCAGUCUCACCUGCCUUAAACCACAGUUCAAAAAUGGAUCGAGGGGUGUCUAUUCCAACAACUGGAGAGUAGACCCUGCCGCUGAGAGGCCUGUGACAACCACAGAGUAAAGAGGGGGCCCCAUUCACCAUCCAGUGCAGCCUCUGGCCACCACAACAAUAGUCACAUCCACUAUCAAGGGGGUAAUGGAAAAUAUACACUGAGGAAAGAUGCAGUGGGCAUCUAUACUAAAAGCAGUCCUCAUGCCAAAAAGAUUAGACUCCUGUAGGCUACACAGGGACACAUCCAUGUAAAAAUAUUCCUUCAAGACUGAAGUAGAAAACCAUUUCUCCUAAACUCAUAGAGUCAGAGAAAUAGAAGUAAAAUGAAGAAGAUGAGGAACCACCCCAAAUUAAAAGAUCAAGAGAAUUCCUCUGAAAGAACAAACAGUGAAACAGACAUCUCCAGUCUACUAUAUACAAAGUUCAAAAAGGAGCUAUGAAAAUACUGAAAGAAUUUUAAAAACCUAUCAAUAGAAAUGCAAAUUAUUAUAAAAAGGAACUAGAAACUAUAAAGACAAGCCAAUUAAAAUUAUAAAAUUUAUUUGCCAAGACAAAAGCUGAGCUAAAGGCAAGCAAAUUGGAUAAUGCAGAAGAAUGAAUAAGUGAUCUAGAAGAUAGAAUAAUGGAAAUCACCCAGUCAGAACAACAGACAGACAAAUAAAAAAAAUUAAAGCAAUAUAUGGGACUGAUAGGAUAAUAAAAAGCAACCAAAUCUACACAAAAUAGGGAUCUGAGAU
rnacentral:lncRNA from 1 species